UUGUCAAGCCCGUGGUGUUGGGGCAAGAUUCGGGGACGUUGAAAGGUCUCCUUUAACCUCGUCCGUCUCUGAAUAACGUCGCACAGAUUCAUCGAUGGAAAGCGUACAUCAUACGCGGGCAUUGGAGGGGAUGGGCGUGGAAAGGAGACAGGAAAAUGGGCAGGGCGGUAGACUCCUCCCUCUUCCCCCUCCCCCCUCUUCCUCGUUCUCCCCCGCCCCUCCCCUCCCUCCUCCUCCCACUACCACGCCGCGCCAGGCAGCUCGACGCCACAUCGGCCACCUCCACAGCCAGUGGUCUCGCGAACGUGCCAGCCUGUGGGUGUUGGAGACGUGAAUUGUGUUGUGAUUUGUGGUUAAUUAUCUCUAGUGCCUUGUCAGUCUUCAUCAGUCCUAGCUCUUCCGAGCUUCAAGAGGUAGUUGCUUGAGGUUGCUGUACAACCAUAAUCAAUAGACUUUGGAGUCUGGCGCCGAGCAUGGAAGCUGCAUCUGCAGACAU